GUACCGAAAAUAAAGGAAAACAACCGCCAAGGAAAGAGAGGCCGAAUAAAUAAAUAAGCCAAAUAAACCAAAUAACAUAAGACACUUAACCAAAUAAAUCAAAAUGAAAAUGAAAAUCAAAAAUCAAGAUCAGAAUAAAAAUAAAAAUCAAACAGCACAUGUAACGACGCAUGUAAUCAAGCAAAUCUCAUACAACCAAUCAAGCACACAAUUAAAUAGUAUUAACUAAUACUAAUUUACGGGAUAAAAUAAAAAAUAAAAUAAAAUAAAUCAAAUCAAAAUAAGAUUAGAUCAAUUAACAGGGAAGGAAUAGGAUGUGAGCCCAGCAUAAUGCAUGACAUAAUGAAUAAAUAAUAUAACAACGCGAUCAAGAAAAUCGCAAAAUUUAAACAUUAUACUGCCGUGCCGUUUAGAAAGAAUUGAAUUCGCCUCAAACUCUUCCCUGCACAUCCCUGCAUGAGAAAUCCUCGGAACCUCGACAGCCUUGACAAGGAUGUACAAGGUCGAGGAGGAAUGAAAAUUAACAAAUAAAUGUGUAAGAUAAAUGAAAUAUAUAAGACAAUACUUAUAAUCGAUCAAACCAUAAUUAUAAGUACAUGAAUUAUGCAGGCCCACCAAGAAGAAACAUAACCCUAAAGUGUCAGAGCCACCAAGUGUCAAACCAGUAUGCAAGGACUUGUUAAAAGAAGCAAAUUAGCAGUUAAGAGAGCUGAAUUGCAAUUGAAAAUGAAAAAGGGAAGAAAAGAAGGGAAACAGGGAACAGCACACCGUCACAUCAUCAGAAAGAACCUUACAAUUACCAGAGAGACACGUCGUGCAUGAGUUGAAUUAAAGAAUAUUAAAGAAGAAUGAGAAUAAUAUGAAAAUGUCCAAGGAAUAUCAAGGACGUACAGGCAACAAAUCAAGAAUCAAGAAAUCAAGAAGGCGAUAAUGAAAUAAAAUAAAAUAGCGAUAAACAGUGAUGGCGUGGCACAGAUAAAGUAUAAAAAUAUAAACCGAACGGAGGAAACCAUAAAUAAGUACAUUAAACAUAUUAAUACCAUCCACGACACUCCGUACCAUCAUGAAGAUCAAAAUAAGCUACAUCAUAUCAAUUACUUUAAUUCAAUUCAAUUCAGAGUGAAGAACAAAUCAGCCAAUGAAAGAAUGAGCGACAGAACAGUAAAGUAGUUAAUUAAAGAUAUUAAAGAAGAAUGAGGUAAAUAAUAAGACAUAAAUUAUAAAUUGAAGGCAGUAACCA